rnacentral:rRNA from 1 species
CUACGGGCUGCUGCAGUGGGGAAUAUUGCACAAUGGGCGCAGGCCUGAUGCAGCCAUGCCGCGUGUAUGAAGAAGGCCUUCGGGUUGUAAAGUACUUUCAGCGGGGAGGAAGGGAGUAAAGUUAAUACCUUUGCUCAUUGACGUUACCCGCAGAAGGAGCACCGGCUAACUCCGUGCCAGCAGCCGCGGUAAUACGGAGGGUGCAAGCGUUAAUCGGAAUUACUGGGCGUAAAGCGCACGCAGGCGGUUUGUUAAGUCAGAUGUGAAAUCCCCGGGCUCAACCUGGGAACUGCAUCUGAUACUGGCAAGCUUGAGUCUCGUAGAGGGGGGUAGAAUUCCAGGUGUAGCGGUGAAAUGCGUAGAGAUCUGGAGGAAUACCGGUGGCGAAGGCGGCCCCCUGGACGAAGACUGACGCUCAGGUGCGAAAGCGUGGGGAGCAAACAGGAUUAGAUACCCGGGUAGUC